UACAUGCUAUACAUGUAUCUCAAAAUGUUGCAGUCAAGGAUUGUACACUGUAUAUGAAUGCACAUUUGUAACAAAUUGUCAAAAGAUAAUUUGAUCUUAAGAAAAAUGUAAACAUUUUGAUUAUUUCAAAAAUUAUUUUUGAAAUUAAUAGGAAUAAAAUUUGUAAGUGAUCUCAUAUCUAUAUAUACCAGUAGAUGCAAUGUUAUUUUUGCUAAAGAAGAUUCUUUCUUUUUUUUUUUUACCUGUGGUAUACUUUUGUUUAUAGUGAUGUGAUAUUCCUGAAAGCUGAGAAAGGAUAAACAUUUUAUGUUUAUUUUGCUAAUUGCACACCCGGUAAUUUAAUUUUCUAAAAAAAAAAAUCAUAUUUUUAAAUGAAAGGACAGUUAAAUGAGCAAUAUUUAACUAUAUGUUGUGUAUGAUAAUACAUGGAAACAAGGCUCAUGAAAAGAGAAAAUGUGUAGAUCUUUGAUUAGGUUGUAACAUCUACCCAUAUACCCUAAUUAUUUCAUCCGGUUUGUGCAAUUAAAGUCCAGCAAGUAAGUCCAGUAAGUACUGUUUUGAGUGAGAGAUUAUACGGCUAUUGAGAGGCAGAGAAAUUAAGAUAAUAUUAAACUUGAACUAUGAAUUCCAUAUUGUCCUGCAAUUGGUAUAGUAAAAAUAUUUAGGUACCUCACUACACCUAGACUUAUACUUUUUAAGACGUACACUACAUCACAAGAUCACAAUUUAAAUUGUUUGUAUCAAUUUUAUUUGUUGUAUAUUGUCAUAGCUCAUUGGUUAAAGUACAGGGCUUGUAACCGCUGAUCAGAACUUCGAAUCUGCCUGAGGUUUUAAUUCAUUUUGACUGAACUGAAUUUGUGGAAAAAUAAUUUUUAUCCAAAAUUGCAAUUUUUCAGACUAAUUUAUAUAUCUUGACCAACAUGCUUUUCAUCAUUAUGAAGUACAUCUAAUCUUCUGCUGAUUAGAGAAACUUUUUUAAGGUGUAGUGAGCCACCUUAAUAAUUACCGGGUAUAACACAUAAGUGUUAAUUACUCAAGAAUCAUAUUGACUUGUACAUGUAUUAUAUACUUUGUGUUGGUAUUGUAUGUAAACUGUUAACUACAGAGUCAAUGAUAUUCUUUUUGCAGGAAAUACAUCAUUUACAAAAAAUAUGAUGUUCACAAUCAGAAUUUUCAGUACCUGGGUAGAUAUAAAACUUGUACUAUUAAUUUAUUUUUGAGGGAGGAGAAUAAAAGAUGGAUUAAUUGUAAAAAUUACAUUUCACAUAAACAUACAAAAUAUUAAUAAUAAAUUGUUUAAUUAUAAUCCGUAGGAGAUAAUUGAUUUGGAUUAUUGUACCUGUUUAUUGUUUACAGUGUUUUACAAAAUUUAUAAAAUAUCUUUGUUUUAUUGCAAUUUUUUUGUGAAUUUUUAUUUGAAUAAAAUACAAAGAAAUACCUAAAAUGACAAUUACUAGUUGUUUACAUGAAAGGUAUAACUUUGGUCGUAAAAAUGUU
rnacentral:misc_RNA from 1 species